rnacentral:rRNA from 2 species
UAGGGAAUCUUCGGCAAUGGGGGGAACCCUGACCGAGCAACGCCGCGUGAGUGAAGAAGGUUUUCGGAUCGUAAAGCUCUGUUGUUAAGGAAGAACGAGUGUGAGAAUGGAAAGUUCAUGCUGUGACGGUACUUAACCAGAAAGGGACGGCUAACUACGUGACAGCAGCCGCGGUAAUACGUAGGUCCCGAGCGUUGUCCGGAUUUAUUGGGCGUAAAGCGAGCGCAGGCGGUUAGAAAAGUCUGAAGUGAAAGGCAGUGGCUCAACCAUUGUAGGCUUUGGAAACUGUUUAACUUGAGUGCAGAAGGGGAGAGUGGAAUUCCAUGUGUAGCGGUGAAAUGCGUAGAUAUAUGGAGGAACACCGGUGGCGAAAGCGGCUCUCUGGUCUGUAACUGACGCUGAGGCUCGAAAGCGUGGGGAGCGAACAGG